rnacentral:sRNA from 1 species
UUUUAGCCCCGAUAGAAGUGGAAAUCCUUUUAUGUUUUUCCUUUAAAAACAUAAAAGAUUGUAACGUAUAGCGGGAAAUAGC